GAUGAACGCUGACAGAAUGCUUAACACAUCAGCAAUGGAUUGUUGGCGGACGGGUGAGUAACGCGUAAAGAACUUGCCUCACAGGUAGGGACAACAUUUGGAAACGAAUGCUAAUACCUAAUACUGUGAGAGAGCUUUGCGUCCCAUUAGCUCGUGGGAGAGGUGACGGCUCACCAAGGCGAUGCUGGGUAGCCGGCCUGGGAGGGUGAUCGGACACAAGUGGACUGAGAAACGGCCCUUACUCCUACGGGAGGCAGCAGUGGGGAAUAUUGGACAAUGGACCAAAGUCUGAACCAGCAAUUCUGUGUGGAAGAUGAAGUUUUCGGAAUGUAAAGUGCUUUCAGUUGGGAAGCGGUACCAACAGAAGAAGUAACGGCUAAAUACGUGCCAGCAGCCGCGGUAAUUC
rnacentral:rRNA from 1 species